UACAGGGGUGCAAACGUUGCUCGGAAUUAUUGGGCGUAAAGCGCGCGUAGGCGGCCACUUAAGUCGGAUGUGAAAGCCCCUGGCUCAACUGGGGAAGUGCACCCGAAACUGAAUGGCUUGAAUGCAAAAGAGGGAAGCGGAAUUCCCGGUGUAGUGGUGAAAUGCGUAGAUAUCGGGAGGAACACCGGUGGCGAAGGCGGCUUUCUGGUCUGCUCUUGACGCUGAGGCGCGAAAGCUAGGGUAGCAAACGGG
rnacentral:rRNA from 1 species